GGAUUGUUUGCAAAAUGCAAUUUAAACAGAUCGCAUUUUAUGGCUUGCCAUUUACCGUAGUAGUAAAUAGCAAAUAGGCAGUUGUGCCUACGUGUAUUUGCUGAUCUGUCAGACACUGGAAAUAAGCCCAGUACAUUAUCCCUUUAAAACCAGGACACGCAUUCAUUCUCAGGGAGAGGCAUUACGUUUUUAUUGAAAACGACAAACCACUGCAGCUGGGGUGAACAACAGAGGGGGCUCCUUUCAUUACCAUUUAACAUAUGCAUACAUGUUUUUCAGAGUGAGUGCCAGGAUUCGCUUAGCCGUCCUCUGCCAUGUGUCAGAGCAGAGUUAAUGCACUCAGCCUGACCUCCUUCAGAGAACUGCCUGCUGUCUUCUUGUCUAAACUGAAGCCACUUCUUAUCGACUCAUGGAAUCAUUCUCCCCUACCCUUUACUGGCAUCCUUGGCUCAUCACUCCUGUCUCAUAUCUCCCCACUCAUCACCAUUUUAAAGAGUCUGCAUUGAGUGUCACUACAUCUGCUGCUUGAGAAAUUAGACCCUUGCUCCAAAUCUUUUACACCAUUAAAAAAAGAAAGAAAGAAAAAAUAAGAAACCUUUUCCCUUGUCCUUUUCCUGACAUCGCCUUGCAGCCGGAAACUCUCCCAGAAGAGAAUGGGAGAGGAGCAAUCAAUAGCGCCUCUAAACAGAAGAUGCCAUUGGCAAAGAGGUAGCACUCAACCACUGCGGUGAACCGCAGGCUUCUGAUUAAGACACCCGUGCCAGCCUGAUUGAGCUGCCUGUCCGCACCGCAUACAAACCAGCCAUUUAACCCUCCCUCCCUCUGCUGCCUUAUUCCCCUCACAGAAAAUAGAGCACUCAAAGAGAAAAGUGGUGCUUGGGUCUGCAGAGAGUUUAAAAGUAAUUACUGACAGCUGAGUGUUCUCUCUGAAUUCAGAUUCUGCAAUCAAUUAGGAGAGAUUUCAUAGAAAUGAUGAUCGGAAAUGAAAACUCCACAUUAGGUAACAUUAUCCAGACUCCUUGUAGCCCUCCCCAUUAAAGAAAGCUAGCUCCUAGUGGUCUGUUCAACUUCACUCAGUCCAGCUUCCGACAGUUCAGGUGCAUUCCCCACACUGAGGACCUUUAUGUCACAGUCAAAAUUGCUUCACAGCAAUUAACAUACAGCCAAAUUUUGGAACAUGAAGUUGGAGAAUAGGUCUGAUGAAUUUAC
rnacentral:lncRNA from 1 species